ensembl:lncRNA
GGAGAAGGGGGGAGAGGAGCUAGGAACCCAUGGCUGUGGGUUGCCCCGCAGUAGCCCAUGACCCAGGAGAAGGGGCCCAUGUCCCUGUGAGAUGGCAGUGGCCAGGGAAUGCCCAUGACCUGUUGGGUUAGCCCUUGGACUUAGGACCUCCAAGGCCCGUGCGAGGGUAGGCAUCGGCCCGGGAAAAGGGGCAGGUGGAAGGAAGUGCCUGGCUAAUAAUUCUGGCACAGCAUUUUCACCCAUCUGACAGUCAAUUCUCUUCAGAUUGACAGCGAGCCGGUGAGGCAGGACACACCUCAGCCCUCCGAAGGCUCCUGCGGUGAAGGCACCUCCCCUGACAACUGGAUGCCAACAUCACCUUGAACACCUCCUCCCUGCACAGGCACCACCGACAAUGCCAGCUGUCCCCUGGUGGGCUGCCCGUGCCCUGCCAGCACAACAGCCAGCGGGGACUCGGCAUUCAUCUCAUGAGGACCUCCGAGGAGAAGUUCCCUUCUCCAUCCUCCCAGAGGCACCGCUGGGACUGCUGGCAUCCCAAAGGACAUGGCUCUGCUUUGUUGCUCCACAGAGGACAGCAGGAGCAUGCGUGUGCAGCAGAGCUGGCUGGGGGACUCCUGAACAUCUCUGUUGGUAGCAGACCACAUCUCCCAGCUGAAUAAAGAUCAUCCAUACAGGAACUUGUGUCCUUUUGGUACCAAGGGGCUUGGGGCAGCAGCCACACGGGAGGCAGUGGGGCAGGUGAGGGCUGCUGCAUGUGGGUUUUAGAGAACACACCUGCAGAGGAAUGAGGGAGCUGGGCUGGGAGAGGAGAGCUGUGAGGUGCCGCCCAGGCGCCUAUGCCCCAGGAGGAGAGACCACAUCCUGGCAGGGUGCCCGUGUCCCACUGAGGUUUCCUUGGGGGUGGCUAUGGCCCUGGGAGGUGGCAGUGGCUGCGGCAAACCUUAUUCUGCCAAUGUGUGCUGACCUACACCUUACCCGAUGUUUGUUUUGUACGUAUGUCAGCCUGAACACUCCUCAGUGGGGCUUUGUUGCCCUCUAGCUCAGAGAAUUGCUUAGAGCUGUGGGAGCUCAGUGCACACUGUGCGUGUCUCAGGGUAGGGAGGGAGCACGACCAAAACUGAGGACAAAAGAAAGCGAAUGGAAAAUAUCUGGUAAGAUUUUUCUAUGAACUGCUGAGCUCUUCCAAGUGGGGGAGGAAAAGGAUUAAAAGUGAGGAGUUUUAAAGACAAAUUGAAGUUGAUGUUUGAACUGUCAGUCCAGGAAACUCCAGCGACAAACUGAAUGGAAAGUUCCCCGGUGAAGCCCACAAAGAAUCUUCAAAGACAAAUCUGAAUGGAGAACAGCAAGGAUUUACAUCUUUGUGUACAGGAACCGAGUAAUUACUGGCAGCCGGAAAAGAAACUCCAGAUUCUUGGCAGUAAAAAGGAAGUGGUCCGGCUCAGAGACUUGGGCUGAGUAGUUUUUAAGUCUUUGAGGAGCAAAUCUGAUGUUUUGGAUACAUACAAUAGAACAAAUUUGUGGAAAUGCUGAGGUGGGAAAUGAAAUGUAUUGGUUAGGGCUUGAAAAUAUGUAUACCAAUAUUUGGUUUCUUUGAGUACAUUUUCAGGCUGGAAUGAUAUCUGAAAAUACCUCAAAUGCAUUACUUACAGCAAGUAAGCUAAUGGCCUACAGAGGAAUGUACAAGUUCCCACUUCACAUCGUGGUCUUGUCAAACGACUUUAAAGCAAGGUUUAUUUUGAUUAUUUUAACAAAAAUGCAAUUUCUGUUUUUCAUUUCAAUCUAAAAUGAGAGGAACUGUACUGUAAUCAUCACCUGUAAUACAGUGUGAGCAGUUUGAAAAA